UUGUUUCCUUGAUACAUGUAAAUCUAUAAUUUACUCUAUAUUUGGUACUUGAAGAGUUGAAUUUGUUUGCAAGCUAACACUAUUAAAGAUCCUUUGGUAUUGUCAAAGAUUCAUCAAAUCUAUCGAAUUGGUUAUAUAAAGGAUGUUAUUUUGCUAGGAGUAUUGGAUGAGGUAACUAUUGCAAGUCCCAGUGCCAUCAUUUAAGCAAAUAAUGCUACUGUUGUUUGUUGCUAAAAGAUGAUACUUUAUUCAAGAAUUAUUUGCAAGGAUGAAAUCGCCCUCCAUAUCUGAUGAAUCAAAGAGGAACUUGGACAAAUGGGCUAAGAACUUGUACCUUGCAUCAAUGUGCUAUACUGCUAUGGUCGUACUGUAUCUUGAUAUAUAUUUAAUUGGCUAAAACCUUCAUGAAGGUCUGACAGCAGGGUUUCUCCUGCUGCUUCUCAAGUUAUCUAGUACAUGGAGCCAUGCUUGAAAAAUUGGGAAUGGAAAGCUAGAGGCAGGCCGUUCUAAUCUUAUUUGAUGCCCUGCUUUGUAUAUUUUGGGUCUGCUUUAUGUUGACAAAAUACUUUGAAUUACCAUCAUAUAUCUAGUUCUGGUGGCCUGCCAAAUUAAAGAACAUACUCACCUUAUACUAGUUAUUUUUUUGCUUUGUCUGUGUUGCCAACUUUUGAAACUCUGAUGAAUCAUGGUUAGCUA